UAGGGAAUCUUCCGCAAUGGACGCAAGUCUGACGGAGCAACGCCGCGUGAGUGAAGAAGGAUUUCGGUUCGUAAAACUAUGUUGUUAGAGAAGAACAGCGCAUAGAGUAACUGUUAUGCGUGUGACGGUAUCUAACCAGAAAGCCACGGCUAACUACGUGCCAGCAGCCGCGGUAAUACGUAGGUGGCAAGCGUUGUCCGGAUUUAUUGGGCGUAAAGCGAGCGCAGGCGGUCAAUUAAGUCUGAUGUGAAAGCCCCCGGCUCAACCGGGGAGGGUCAUUGGAAACUGGUUGACUUGAGUGCAGAAGAGGAGAGUGGAAUUCCAUGUGUAGCGGUGAAAUGCGUAGAUAUAUGGAGGAACACCAGUGGCGAAGGCGACUUUCUGGCCAUAACCUGACGCUGAGGUACGAAAGCGUGGGUAGCAAACAGG
rnacentral:rRNA from 1 species